UGUUAGAACCCGUAUUUUUGUACAGUGAAAUAAUCCGGAUUUAUUUAUGAUAAUCUAAGGACAAAAUUAUUUUGGGAUACAAAGUCGGGAUUCUUGACCUUCGAAUUUAUUUUGAGAUAUAAGUUGUGCAUGAAUUUAUUGGUAUGGAACAAUUAGGAAAAUUUGGGACCAAAAGUGAUAAAAUUUGAAGUGGAAAGUCAUCCACAAAUUCCAUGUGGUGCCCACACAACUUUGUGUCAUCUUCUAAGUGGAACAACUCAUUAUGUGGGCCAAGGGACCUUGACCAAGUCUUGUUAACUUAAAUAAAGAUGACCACUUCAUUUUUCUCUUCAUCCACACUUAAAAAAAAAAAAAAAAAAAAAAAAAAAAGUGAAGCUCCCUCCAUUAAGGAGCUCACGGCCACAACCCAAAAAAAAAAAAAAAAUCCACCUCCAUUUCUUGUCCUUCUAAAAUUAUUUUGAUGAUGAAAACCUAUUAUAUUGAGGUCCCUAAGUAGCGUGGAAGCAUCGUUGGAGCGAUCAACCCAUUGUUUUUCAUCUUUUGGAAACCCUAGCCUAUUGGAAGUUGAAGAGAAAAAGAUCGUGGGCAGCCCGAAUCAUAGGUUGGAUUUAGCUUGAGUUUGGAUCGUAUUGGAGAGCGUUUGAGGUACGGACGCACAGCCUGGUGAUCCACCUGUUUAGGACACCCUUUCUGCUAUUCGGAGUGCUCCUCUCUUUCCGGAGCUUAUACUUUUGGUAUAUAUAUUUUUAUUAGUGCAUUUGUAUAUAUUCGUUCAUGGGUACGGCGGGGCCCUGUCCUGUCAUAUGAUUCUGUCGGUCUGUUUAGAGAUCUGUGGACA